rnacentral:lncRNA from 1 species
UCCACAAUCAAAGAAGAUCUGAAAUGAUAUGGACGCAAUGGAGCAUCAAAAUUUUGUAUGGUGUGGAUUAUGUAAGGAGAUAGGGCACCAUCGGCACAGAUGCCCUCAAUGACGUUGAUUUAUGUAUUUGUUCAUAUUUUGUAGACUGACUUUAUAUAUCAUUUGUAUUUUUUUUAAAUAUUUUGGUUAUGUAAUCAUGUCGUGUAAAUAUUUUUCAAAUUAUCUUAUGUAUCAUUUGUGUUGCUUAUGAUCUUUGAUAUUUCUGGGUAGUAAGAUAAUUUUUUUAUUUUAUACCUUAGACAUGGUAGGUUCAAACUCCAAUGUUCACUCG